UGCAGAGAGAGACGAUGAAGAACCCAAAGCGCGAAGAAGAGAAACACGAAGGGUUUAUAUUUUCGCUCGCAUUUCUUUAUCGGCUGCUCUGUAACACCACAUUGUCUUGCUCAGAAUAAUUUGAACCAUUUGAGGGCCACUUUUACUGGCUACAUAAGCUGGAAACUUCUUGUGUUUCCUAAAAAAUGGCAAUGAAGCCAUCAAAUAACAUCUGGAUUCGACGCCAACAGUGCCCGUGCGGAGAUUGGAAGUGUUACAUUCAGUAUGAAGGAGAUGAUCUGGGCUCAGUAAGUUCUCAGCAUGUAAAGAGUGAGACAACUCCAUCUUCGUCAUCAUCAGAAGCUGUCUUCACUCCUUAUGUUGGUCAAAUAUUCAAAACUGAUGAUGAUGCUUUUGAAUACUACAGCAAUUUUGCCCGGAAGAAUGGGUUUUCAAUUAGAAAAGCACGCUCAACCGAAAGCCAAAACUUAGGGAUAUAUAGACGAGAUUUUGUUUGUUAUCGGUCAGGAUUUAAUCAACCAAGAAAAAAGGCCAACGUGGAGCAUCCCAGGGAGAGAAAAUCAGUACGAUGCGGAUGCGAUGCAAAGUUGUAUUUGACAAAGGAAAUUGUUGAUGGUGUUAUGCAAUGGUAUGUUUCACAGUUUAGUAACGUUCAUAACCAUGAGUUAUUGGAAGAUGACCAAGUGCGCCUACUUCCUGCAUAUCGUAAAAUACAAGAGGUUGAUCAAGAACGGAUUCUUUUACUGUCCAAAGCUGGGUUUCCUGUAAACCGGAUAGUCAAGGUGUUGGAGCUAGAAAAGGGAGUUCAACCUGGACAGUUGCCCUUCAUAGAGAAAGAUGUUAGGAAUUUUGUUCGGACUUGUAAAAAGACUGUUCAAGAAAAUGAUGCUUUGCUCAAUGAGAAAAGAGAGAACGAUAUGCUAGAACUUCUUGAGGCCUGCAAGGCUAUGACUGGGAGGGAUCCAGAUUUUGUCUAUGAUUAUACUAUAGAUGAAAAUGAAAAGGUUGAAAAUAUUGCAUGGUCAUUUGGUGACUCCAUUCGUGCAUAUACUAUUUUUGGUGAUGUAGUUGCUUUUGACACUUCAUAUCGCUCUGUCACUUAUGGAUUGCUCCUUGGAGUGUGGUUUGGUAUUGAUAAUCAUGGCAAGGCAAUUUUCUUAGGGUGUGUGCUACUACAAGAUGAAAGCUCUCAUUCAUUUGCUUGGGCUUUACAGGCUUUUAUGCGAUUUAUGAGAGGGAGGCAUCCACAGACUGUUCUUACAGAUAUAGACUCAGGGCUCAGAGAUGCUAUAGCAAGGGAAUUGCCAAAUACAAAACAUGUUCUAUGUAUAUGGCAUAUUUUAUCCAAAAUAUCCAGUUGGUUCUCUUUGCCCCUUGGAUCACAGUAUGAAAAUUUUAAAACUGAGUUUGAUAUGUUGUCUCAACUGGAGAGUGUUGAAGAUUUUGAACAUCAAUGGAAUAUUUUGGUUGCUCGGUUUGGCCUUGUAUCCGAUAAGCAUAUAGCUCUGUUGCAUUCAUAUCGAGCAUCCUGGACAUUUUCUUACAUUAGAAGUUACUUUCUCGCUCGUACACUGACAGCUGAGUUUUCGCUGUCUUUGGAGUCAUUCUUGAAAAGAAUAUUGAAUGGACAGACAUGUCUGCAAGUAUUCUUUGAGCAGGUUAGUAUUGCUGCCAACUUAGAGAAUCAGACCAGAGAAGGGAUGCAAUAUAUACAUGUCAAGACUGGCAUGCCUCUUGAAGAACAUGCACGGAAUAUUCUUACACCUUAUGCUUUCAAUGUCUUACAACGCGAAAUUGUUCUGUCUGUGCAAUAUGCAACAACAGAAAUGGCAAAUGGAUCGUAUCUUGUGCGACACUACAAGAAAUUGGAGGGAGAAUGUCUUGUCAUUUGGAUGCCAGAUGAUGAGCAAAUUCACUGUUCUUGUAAGGAAUUUGAGCAUUCUGGGAUUUUAUGCAGGCAUUCUCUUCGCGUACUUGUAGUGAAGAACUACUUUCAACUCCCUGAAAAAUAUUUUCUGCUCCGUUGGCGGGUAGAAAGUUCAUUGGUUUCUGUGGAUGAUCAAAAUGCUCAAAUCAGCAGCGACGAUUGUGCUCAGGCCUUCCAGAGUCUUACUGCUAGUUUAUUGACAGAGUCCUUAAUCUCCAAGGACAGAUUCAAUUAUGUCCAUAACGAACUUACGAGUCUUCUUGAGCAUGUUAGAAAUAUGCCAGUAAUCGACGAAUAUGCUGCAAAUGCAGCAGCUAAUAACAUCAGUGAAUCGUAGUCGGCUUGGUUUAGCAGUUAAUAUAGAUGCUGCACUGUGACCUUUAUUCAAAAGAUUCAGAAUCUCUGGAAGAUGAAAUGAGGUGCUGUGGAAGGCAUUAAAUUGUAGUCAUUAACAUUAAUAAGCUCACACUCUGGAAUAGUUGCAGACGAGUGAAAAAGAAACAGCAAUACAAAUAGUUUAUCAACCCUAGCAAGCCAGCUCAGAUUGCCUGGAUGGGUGUCAUUCUUUCAUUGUAUUUACUUCAAGUUUCAGGAAAUGUUGGAAUGAGGUCCUUCACAUAAAAUUCAAUGUCCUUCGUUGCCACAAACAGCACUCAUCAAGAUUCCAAACGACAGAGCAGAACUUUCACCUAGACUUUUCAAUGGACUGGACUACCAUGUCAACUGAACGUUUGAAUUUCCCUGGCUUUAAUUUUGUUCACCGCACAAGAAAACGUCUGAUUGGGGUUGGUCUCCCACUCUACUUGUCUGUUUAAUUGCAAUGUUUGUGAGUGUUCUGGCUCCAAGGAACCAGUCAAAGAGCAAGUCAGUUUCAAUCUCAUUAUGUUUUGUCCUUUAUC